AACGAACGCUGGCGGCAGGCCUAACACAUGCAAGUCGAGCGGGGGAGCAAUCCCUAGCGGCGGGACGGGUUAGUAACGCGUGGGAACAUACCCUUUGGUACGGAAUAGCCUCGGGAAACUGAGAGUAAUACCGUAUGUGCCCUUCGGGGGAAAGAUUUAUCGCCAAAGGAUUGGCCCGCGUUGGAUUAGGUAGUUGGUGGGGUAAUGGCCUACCAAGCCUACGAUCCAUAGCUGGUUUGAGAGGAUGAUCAGCCACAUUGGGACUGAGACACGGCCCAAACUCCUACGGGAGGCAGCAGUGGGGAAUAUUGGACAAUGGGCGCAAGCCUGAUCCAGCCAUGCCGCGUGAGUGAUGAAGGUCUUAGGAUUGUAAAGCUCUUUCACCGAUGAAGAUAAUGACGGUAGUCGGAGAAGAAGCCCCGGCUAACUUCGUGCCAGC
rnacentral:rRNA from 1 species